AUGAUAACAAAGGGUGUCCCCCCUGCUACCAAUGAAGGAGAUUCAUCUAAAGAAGAGGAAGAUGUUCGUCAAGGAAGAAGGAGAGGUAAUCUUGGAGCAAGACCGCCACGACAACAUGUUGUUCAACGUGCUUUAAGAAGGCCAAUUUAUGUUGAGACUUCUGAAGGUGAAGAAUAUGAUGAUGCCCUUGAAGAACCAAAUCUCUACGCAUAUCGGAGAGCACCCAACCCUACAUAUGCAAGAGAUACAUACAAGGUGAAAGCUGAGAUCCCAAGUUUUAAUGGAAAUGUUGACAUUGAAGGGUGCCUGGAUUGGUUAUAUGAAGUGGAGACUUUUUUUGAGGUCAUGGAGGUUCCGGAAGAUCGUAGAGUUCCUUUGGUCGCAUACAAGCGAAAAGGGGGAGCUGGUGCAUGGUGGCAUCACGUUCAAGAUGAGCGCAUGCUGAGAGGAGAACCUCAUGUUAGAACUUGGCAACAAAUGAAAGGCCUCUUGAAAGGGAGAUUUUUGCCCGCUGAUUAUGACCAGAUCCUAUUUAUCCAAUUUCAAAAUUGUGCUCAAGGAAAUAGGACUGUUUCAGAUUACACGGAGGAGUUUCUAAGGCUACAAGUGAGGUGCAACCUUGCUGAAAUUGAAGAGCAACAAGUUGCAAGGUACAUCAAUGGUCUCAAUGAUGCUAUUCAAGAUCGAUUGAUGAUGCAACAAAUCUGGUCCGUUGAUCAAGCACAAGCUCUAGCCUUAAAGGCCGAGAGGUUUGUGAGGCUGAGAAAGACAACUAAGGCUCCAUAUCCUCAUACCGAAGGCUCAUCUAGGAGCCAACCUAAUAGAGUGGAAGAAAAGACCACUCCACCAAAGACAAAACAGCCCAUCCCGAAGCAACUAGAGGCAAGGGUAAGGCAAAUGAAGGCCCAAAGUGCUAUAAAUGUGGUAAAGAGGGACACAUAUCCAGCGGUUGCGCACUAA
rnacentral:rRNA from 1 species